CCUACGGGGGGCAGCAGUGAGGAAUAUUGGUCAAUGGGCGCGAGCCUGAACCAGCCAAGUAGCGUGAAGGAUGACGGCCCUACGGGUUGUAAACUUCUUUUAUAAAGGAAUAAAGUGAGGCACGUGUGCCUGUUUGUAUGUACUGUAUGAAUAAGGAUCAGCUAACUCCGUGCCAGCAGCCGCGGUAAUACGGAGGAUCCGAGCGUUAUCCGGAUUUAUUGGGUUUAAAGGGAGCGUAGAAGGGUCUUUAAGUGAGUUGUGAAAGUUUGCGGCUCAACCGUAAAAUUGCCAUUGAUACUGGCAGCCUUCAGUACAGUUGAGGUAGGCCGAAUUCGUUGUGUAGCGGUGAAAUGCUUCGCUAUCAC
rnacentral:rRNA from 1 species